rnacentral:rRNA from 1 species
AUUGAACGCUGGCGGUAUGCUUUACACAUGCAAGUCGAACGGCAGCACGGGGCAACCUGGUGGCGAGUGGCGAACGGGUGAGUAACAUAUCGGAACAUGUCCGGGAGUGGGGGAUAACGUAGCGAAAGUUACGCUAAUACCGCAUAUGCCCCGAGGGGGAAAGGGGGGGAUCGCAAGACCUCUCGCUUUCGGAGUGGCCGAUAUCGGAUUAGCUAGUAGGUGGGGUAAAGGCCCACCUAGGCGACGAUCCGUAGCUGGUCUGAGAGGACGACCAGCCACACUGGAACUGAGACACGGUCCAGACUCCUACGGGAGGCAGCAGUGGGGAAUUUUGGACAAUGGGCGCAAGCCUGAUCCAGCCAUACCGCGUGAGUGGAGAAGGCCUUCGGGUUGUAAAGCUCUUUCAGACGGAAAGAAACGGUCGCGGCGAAUACCCGCGACUAAUGACGGUACCGUAAGAAGAAGCACCGGCUAACUACGUGCCAGCAGCCGCCGCGGUAA